UGGGGAAUUUUGCACAAUGGGGGAAACCCUGAUGCAGCGACGCCGCGUGAUUUAGAAGGCCUUCGGGUUGUAAAAAUCUUUUUUACGGGAUGAAAAUGACAGUACCGUAAGAAUAAGGUCCGGCUAAAUACGUGCCAGCAGCCGCGGUAAUACGUAUGGACCGAGCGUUGUCCGGAAUCAUUGGGCGUAAAGGGUACGUAGGCGGCCUAGUAAGUUAGAAGUGAAAUAAUAUAGCUCAACUAUAUAAAGCUUUUAAAACUGCUAGGCUUGGGAGAUGGAAGGGAAAGUGGAAUUCCUAGUGUAGCGGUGAAAUGCGCAGAUAUUAGGAAGAAUACCGGUGGCGAAGGCGACUUUCUGGUCAUCAUCUGACGCUGAGGUACGAAAGCGUGGGUAGCAAACAGG
rnacentral:rRNA from 1 species